rnacentral:lncRNA from 1 species
AGUUCGUUAUAUUGAUUUCGGGAAUUGUUAAGCUGUUGAAAAAAGUAGUCUUGUCAAACUGCCUGUGACUCUAUCUGGUUUUUCUCCUGUAGCAUUAAAGUACUCUUUGUCAGGAAUAGAACUUGUAAACACGAAAGAUACAUCUGAGUUGUUCAUUAAGGGUAGAGAAACUUUGAAAGAAAUUAUUCAUGAUAAAUAUGUUGAAAUCAGUACAAAAAUGCAUGUGGAUAAUUGAUUUAAAGAAAAUGGAAACUUAUGUACAAUUUUUUCUAUUAAUAAAGUCGAAGCUGGACCAGAAUUUAUUACAAACUUAAUUUCUACAGGUGCUGUAAGAAAAAAAGUUGUUAUAGAUGAGAAAGCUAAAGAUUUGCAAAUGCAGCUUGAAAAUGCAGAAUCAGAAAUAAAAACAUUAAAAUCAAGACUCAAAGAGUUAGAGAUAAUACAAGAAAAGGUCACAAAUCAAGAAAAAAACUUGCAUUUAUUAAUGAAAACACCAGUUACAUUUUGUUUACAAAAGUUAUUUUAAAAUGUUCAGAAUUUGCGUAAUGUUAGAGCUAUAUUUGCUUCAGGAGAGAAUUUAUUUCCUGCUCAAAUUCAAAAAAUGGUUGAUUUGAUGUUACAUUCACAUAAAAAUAUUAAUCUUGGUCAUAUAAGACACUAUCAAAAUGUCAUAACGACUCAAAGUUUUAUAAAAGAACAUAAUUAUCAAAUAUCUAAUUGCACAAAUAAAGAAAAGUUACAAUCUUUAAUAGAAGCUCGUGAUAAAGCUAUUAAAAAACUUGUUCAUGA